UACGUAGGGUGCAAGCGUUGUCCGGAAUUAUUGGGCGUAAAGAGCUCGUAGGCGGCUUGUCGCGUCGACUGUGAAAUCCCGGGGCUUAACUUCGGGCUUGCAGUCGAUACGGGCUGGCUUGAGUGCGGUAGGGGAGACUGGAAUUCCUGGUGUAGCGGUGAAAUGCGCAGAUAUCUGGAGGAACACCGGUGGCGAAGGCGGCAUCCUGGACCGGCAUUGACGCUGAGGCGCGAAAGCCAGGGGAGCAAACGGG
rnacentral:rRNA from 1 species